UCAGGUUGCUUGGGGUGUUUUUCUACUGUCAUAGUGAAAUGGUUCCCCAAUAGGCUGCUUUUUAUUCAUGUUAUCUACCAUCUCUGUGAAAUAGUUUUAGAGACUCUAUGAGCUAGCUAGUUAUGUUGGUGGUGCCUUCUUGGUACAGUAAAACCCUGGUGGUGCUACUUCACUGGGAAGUAGUUUGACAGUGACUCAAGUUCAGAAGCUGGCAGGUCUGCAAGUAGCUGACAAAGUAGGAAGGUGAGUUAUGGUAGCUUUCCAAAGCUUUGACUAUCCUUGGGACAUUCAGACAACAUUUUUCUUCUCGGUAUGUCUCUAGAAUGUCUAGGUAUGUCUCAGCCUGGCAAAAGAAAACAGAAAGAAGGUGUAAGGUUGAUAUAUAUAGAUACAACAUCUAAUAUUUUUAAUAUCUUAGCUUCAGAGACCACAAUUUAUUUUUUUUCUAACUGUGAUAGUUUAAGCCAAAUCUGGUCAUCCCAACAAAGUGCACAAGUUAUACAAGGUUAUAUCACUCCAAGUCUGCGAAUCACUGGUAAAUGCAAAAAGCUCUGGCAUGUUACACCUUUAAUGUGAAUGUACCAAGAAAGGACUGGCUUCUGUAAAUUGAAGUUGAAGGUUGACAGUAGUAAUGUACUCUCUGUUUAAAUAGAUAGACAUAGAUCUAUCUAUCAGGGUAUUAACAGAAACUGAACACAAGUGAACUACAAGAACUAUCCUCCCAUACUCUUCAGCAUACAACAAAUGCAGAAGUUCAUGAAGUACCUGGGUUGUAUAGAAUUUAUUUUUGGGGGGGAAGGAGGAUAAAUGAAUUCUUAUGUUUGUUUUAAUUGUUAUUUUCCUUUUGCUAUUUUUUUCUUGUUAAUUGAAAUACAAUUAUUGUAUAUAACUCACUCUGUGGGGAGGAAAAUAAUAAAAACUAAUCCAAGCAUGUGGGAUAAGCUCCAAAUAAAGACACCAUAAAUCUUUAUUUUUAGACUGGAUAAUACAAAUGAAUGCAAUAUUAUCAAUGCUCUUUGCAAGAAUUGGGAAUUGUGUAAUCCUUAGUUAAUAUGCUUUUUUUCUACCUAAUAUGACUACUGAACAUGUUAAAUGCAAUAUAAAGAAAAAUAAGGUUUAAACAGAUGUCAAGAAAUUAUAACUCUGUGUGGAAAAAAAAUAAAAAAAAAAAAGUGCAGAGCAAGCCUCCGAGGCAAGAUUGUUAAGGCAAAAACUCUAAGGUCAUUAAAGAAACAAUUAGAUGCCAUCAUGGAAAUUGUAUACUACAGAAAAUUAACUUUAAGUCAGUAGGCUUCACUAAUUUACUGGAAUAUCUUUUUCUCUAAAUCAUAUUUAUGUGUUUAAACUUGAGUACACUUUUUUUUUUUAACUGUGAAUGGAAAAACACAGAAUGAGAGCAAGAGCCAUAAAAUGUAAGAUUUGUAUGACAUAAAAACUGUUAUUAGCAGAUGAACCUCUCUCUUUAAGACAUCACAGGUCAUACUUUGUGUACACAAUGUUGAAAUAAAAGCUGAUGUUCUUUCCAGAGUUAUGGUAAUGUUAUCUGAACCUUUUUACCUCAUCACCUAAUGUAAACCUUCAAUAUUAGUGUAUAUUCAGUUGUCACCCCUAUCUUUUUUUGUAUGUCUUUCUUUUUCUGCUGAUUAAGAAUGUGCUGUUAAUUCUCAC